ACGAAACUCAGCGGCGAUCUGGCCGUCACGAAUGCGGCGGUCAGUCAGAAAGCUGAGCAAAGCGCUGUCACCGGGUUGACCACCCGGAUGACGUCUGCCGAGGGUAAACUGGAUUCGCAGUCGNCACUAUCGUUAACUGAAUACAUAGGUUAACGAGGCGAACCGGGGGAACUGAAACAUCUAAGUACCCCGAGGAAAAGAAAUCAACCGAGAUUCCCCCAGUAGCGGCGAGCGAACGGGGAGCAGCCCAGAGUCUGAAUCAGCUUGUGUGUUAGUGGAACGGUCUGGAAAGUCCGACGGUACAGGGAGAUAGUCCCGUACACCAAAAUGCACAGGCUGUGAACUCGAAGAGAAGGGCGGGACACGUGGUAUCCUGUCUGAAUAUGGGGGGACCAUCCUCCAAGGCUAAAUACUCCUGACUGACCGAUAGUGAACCAGUACCGUGAGGGAAAGGCGAAAAGAACCCCGGCGAGGGGAGUGAAAAAGAACCUGAAACCGUGUACGUACAAGCAGUGGGAGCACCUUCGGGUGUGACUGCGUACCUUUUGUAUAAUGGGUCAGCGACUUAUAUUCUGUAGCAAGGUUAACCGUAUAGGGGAGCCGCAGGGAAACCGAGUCUUAACUGGGCGUUAAGUUGCAGGGUAUAGACCCGAAACCCGGUGAUCUAGCCAUGGGCAGGUUGAAGGUUGGGUAACACUAACUGGAGGACCGAACCGACUAAUGUUGAAAAAUUAGCGGAUGACUUGUGGCUGGGGGUGAAAGGCCAAUCAAACCGGGAGAUAGCUGGUUCUCCCCGAAAGCUAUUUAGGUAGCGCCUCGUGAACUCAUCUUCGGGGGUAGAGCACUGUUUCGGCUAGGGGGUCAUCCCGACUUACCAACCCGAUGCAAACUACGAAUACCGAAGAAUGUUAUCACGGGAGACACACGGCGGGUGCUAACGUCCGUCGUGAAGAGGGAAACAACCCAGACCGCCAGCUAAGGUCCCAAAGUCAUGGUUAAGUGGGAAACGAUGUGGGAAGGCACAGACAGCCAGGAUGUUGGCUUAGAAGCAGCCAUCAUUUAAAGAAAGCGUAAUAGCUCACUGGUCGAGUCGGCCUGCGCGGAAGAUGUAACGGGGCUAAACCAUGCACCGAAGCUGCGGCAGCGACGCUUAUGCGUUGUUGGGUAGGGGAGCGUUCUGUAAGCCUGCGAAGGUGGCCUGUGAGGGCUGCUGGAGGUAUCAGAAGUGCGAAUGCUGACAUAAGUAACGAUAAAGCGGGUGAAAAGCCCGCUCGCCGGAAGACCAAGGGUUCCUGUCCAACGUUAAUCGGGGCAGGGUGAGUCGACCCCUAAGGCGAGGCCGAAAGGCGUAGUCGAUGGGAAACAGGUUAAUAUUCCUGUACUUGGUGUUACUGCGAAGGGGGGACGGAGAAGGCUAUGUUAGCCGGGCGACGGUUGUCCCGGUUUAAGCAUGUAGGCGGAGGUUCCAGGUAAAUCCGGUACCUUUUAACGCUGAGGUGUGAUGACGAGGCACUACGGUGCUGAAGUAACAAAUGCCCUGCUUCCAGGAAAAGCCUCUAAGCAUCAGGUAACAUUAAAUCGUACCCCAAACCGACACAGGUGGUCAGGUAGAGAAUACCAAGGCGCUUGAGAGAACUCGGGUGAAGGAACUAGGCAAAAUGGUGCCGUAACUUCGGGAGAAGGCACGCUGGUGUGUAGGUGAAGUCCCUGCGGAUGGAGCUGAGACCAGUCGAAGAUACCAGCUGGCUGCAACUGUUUAUUAAAAACACAGCACUGUGCAAACACGAAAGUGGACGUAUACGGUGUGACGCCUGCCCGGUGCCGGAAGGUUAAUUGAUGGGGUUAUCCGUAAGGAGAAGCUCUUGAUCGAAGCCCCGGUAAACGGCGGCCGUAACUAUAACGGUCCUAAGGUAGCGAAAUUCCUUGUCGGGUAAGUUCCGACCUGCACGAAUGGCGUAAUGAUGGCCAGGCUGUCUCCACCCGAGACUCAGUGAAAUUGAACUCGCUGUGAAGAUGCAGUGUACCCGCGGCAAGACGGAAAGACCCCGUGAACCUUUACUAUAGCUUGACACUGAACAUUGAGCCUUGAUGUGUAGGAUAGGUGGGAGGCUUUGAAGCGUGGACGCCAGUCUGCGUGGAGCCAACCUUGAAAUACCACCCUUUAAUGUUUGAUGUUCUAACGUAGGCCCCUGACCGGGGUUGCGGACAGUGUCUGGUGGGUAGUUUGACUGGGGCGGUCUCCUCCCAAAGAGUAACGGAGGAGCACGAAGGUUAGCUAAUCCUGGUCGGACAUCAGGAGGUUAGUGCAAUGGCAUAAGCUAGCUUGACUGCGAGCGUGACGGCGCGAGCAGGUGCGAAAGCAGGUCAUAGUGAUCCGGUGGUUCUGAAUGGAAGGGCCAUCGCUCAACGGAUAAAAGGUACUCCGGGGAUAACAGGCUGAUACCGCCCAAGAGUUCAUAUCGACGGCGGUGUUU
rnacentral:rRNA from 1 species